UACGUAGGGGGCAAGCGUUGUCCGGAUUUAUUGGGCGUAAAGAGCGUGUAGGCGGCUGGUAGGUCCGUUGUGAAAACUCGAGGCUCAACCUCGAGACGCCGAUGGAAACCCCCCAGCUAGAGUCCGGAAGAGGAGAGUGGAAUUCCUGGUGUAGCGGUGAAAUGCGCAGAUAUCAGGAAGAACACCCGUGGCUAAGGCGGCUCUCUAGUACGGUACUGACGCUGAGACGCGAAAGCGUGGGGAGCGAACAGG
rnacentral:rRNA from 1 species